rnacentral:rRNA from 1 species
GACGAACGCUGGCGGCGUGCCUAACACAUGCAAGUCGAGCGGGGAUUUAAGUGGAAGUUCUUCGGAAUGGAGAUUUAAAUUCUAGCGGCGGACGGGUGAGUAACGCGUGAACAAUCUGUCCCGGACAGGGGGAUAACACUUGGAAACAGGUGCUAAUACCGCAUAAGACCACGGCCUCGCAUGGGGCUGAGGUAAAAGGAGCAAUCCGGUUCGGGGUGAGUUCGCGUCCGAUUAGCUAGUUGGUGAGGUAACGGCCCACCAAGGCGACGAUCGGUAGCCGGCCUGAGAGGGUGAACGGCCACAUUGGAACUGAGAGACGGUCCAAACUCCUACGGGAGGCAGCAGUGGGGAAUAUUGGGCAAUGGGCGAAAGCCUGACCCAGCAACGCCGCGUGAGGGAAGAAGGUUUUCGGAUUGUAAACCUCUGUCCUAUGGGACGAAGGAAGUGACGGUACCAUAGGAGGAAGCUCCGGCUAACUACGUG